CACGCCGUAAACGAUGAAUACUAGGUGUAGGGGGUAUCGACUCCCCCUGUGCCGUCGUUAACACAUUAAGUAUUCCACCUGGGGAGUACGGCCGCAAGGCUGAAACUCAAAGGAAUUGACGGGGACCCGCACAAGCAGUGGAGUAUGUGGUUUAAUUCGACGCAACGCGAAGAACCUUACCAAGGCUUGACAUCCUCUGACCGCUGUAGAAAUACAGUUUCCCUUCGGGGCAGAGUGACAGGUGG
rnacentral:rRNA from 1 species